rnacentral:rRNA from 1 species
GUACGGAAGGCAGCAGUAGGGAAUAUUGGACAAUGGGCGAAAGCCUGAUCCAGCCAUGCCGCGUGAUGGAUGAAGGCCCUCUGGGUUGUAAACAUCUUUUAUUAGGGAAGAAACAUCUCGUUUCUACGAGACUUGACGGUACCUGAUGAAUAAGCACCGGCUAACUCCGUGCCAGCAGCCGCGGUAAUACGGAGGGUGCAAGCGUUAUCCGGAUUUACUGGGUUUAAAGGGUGCGUAGGCGGGAAAAUAAGUCAGUGGUGAAAGCACCGGGCUCAACUCGGUAACUGCCAUUGAUACUGUUUUUCUUGAAUGCGAUUGAGGUAAGCGGAAUGUUGCAUGUAGCGGUGAAAUGCUUAGAUAUGUUACAGAACACCAAUUGUGAAGACAGCUUACUAAGUCGUGAUUGACGCUGAGGCACGAAAGCGUGGGGAGCAAACAGGAUUAGAUACCCCGGUAGC